rnacentral:rRNA from 1 species
GACGAACGCUGGCGGCGUGCUUAACACAUGCAAGUCGAACGAAGUGGCGAACGGGUGAGUAACGCGUAAUCAACCUGGCGUUCAGAGGGGGAUAACAGUUGGAAACGACUGCUAAUACCGCAUACUGAAGGAGGGGAUUGAGUCUGCUUGGCUAGUUGGAGGGGUAACGUCCCACCAAGGCGAUGAUCAGUAGCACGUCUGCGGGGAUGAACGGCCACAGUGGGACUGGGAACCGGCCCAGACUCCUACGGGAGGCAGCAGUGGGGAAUCUUCCGCAAUGGACGAAAGUCUGACGCAGCAACGCCGCGUGAGUGAUGACGGCCUUCGGGUUGUAAAGCUCUGUUAAUCGGGACGCGGUACCGGAAUAGAAAGCCACGGCUAACUACGUGCCAGCAGCCGCGGUAAUAC